GACGAACGCUGGCGGCGUGCCUAAUACAUGCAAGUUGAGCGCUGAAGGUUGGUACUUGUACCAACUGGAUGAGCAGCGAACGGGUGAGUAACGCGUGGGGAAUCUGCCUUUGAGCGGGGGACAACAUUUGGAAACGAAUGCUAAUACCGCAUAAAAACUUUAAACACAAGUUUUAAGUUUGAAAGAUGCAAUUGCAUCACUCAAAGAUGAUCCCGCGUUGUAUUAGCUAGUUGGUGAGGUAAAGGCUCACCAAGGCGAUGAUACGUAGCCGACCUGAGAGGGUGAUCGGCCACAUUGGGACUGAGACACGGCCCAAACUCCUACGGGAGGCAGCAGUAGGGAAUCUUCGGCAAUGGACGAAAGUCUGACCGAGCAACGCCGCGUGAGUGAAGAAGGGUUUCGGAUCGUAAAACUCUGAUGGUAGAGAAGAACGUUGGUGAGAGUGGAAAGCUCAUCAAGUGACGGUAACUACCCAGAAAGGGACGGCUAACUACGUG
rnacentral:rRNA from 1 species